UCGGCGGUCAAGAAAUAUUGGAGUUUGACUUUGGAAAAUUUUAGUUUCUUUUUUUUGUUUUUUUUUUAAUUUUAGUGUUGUUUGGUCUCAACCUCUUAUACCAAGUAGUACAAAAAUGAGAGGUGUUGUUGUGUAGAAAUACCUAACAUGAAAAACUUCUUACCGUACAUAGAGGAAUAUUAUUAUUUAUUGAUUCAUUGACACAAGAGGAAG
rnacentral:lncRNA from 1 species